rnacentral:rRNA from 1 species
UACGGAGGGGACUAGCGUUGUUCGGAAUUACUGGGCGUAAAGCGCACGUAGGCGGGUUUGUAAGUCAGGGGUGAAAUCCCGAGGCUCAACCUCGGAACUGCCUUUGAUACUGCAAAUCUCGAGUACGGAAGAGGUGAGUGGAAUUCCUAGUGUAGAGGUGAAAUUCGUAGAUAUUAGGAAGAACACCAGUGGCGAAGGCAGCUCACUGGUCCGGUACUGACGCUGAGGUGCGAAAGCGUGGGGAGCAAACAGG